UUGCAGCGCCCACAAAGGGGCUGCAGCUUCAACAGAGAACUACCGGUACCGAGAUGCCCGCGGACCCGGUGGUGUUGGUUUCCGGUAAGUGCGUAAAAAUGUGUUCGGAGCCCGGCGCUGCCGGACGGAGAAGAGAGUGAUGAGAGGAGAGGAGGAGAUGACCGGGCUGCUAUUCUUACAUCUGCUGUAUCAGAUCUGAGAGGAGGAGGCAGAGGAGGAGGAGGGGUCAAGAUGGAGGGAGCUGCCGUCAUCAGGAGACCUGAAUGAGUACUGCUAUACCGCUACCACCCCCGCCCCAUCCAUGACUUUCUACUGUGAACCGUCGACUUGUGUGCCUCAAACUCUGUAAUGGAAAAUCGUGGUGA